rnacentral:lncRNA from 1 species
AUGAACCAAGGCUGUCUCCCAGGGCUCUUGUCCUUAAAAGGCUGUAAGAUCUCAGGACUGGUACUUCCGCAAGACUACAGAAGUCGUACCAAAUGGGAGGAAAAUCUGCAGGUUGGCUACGCAAGAAGACUUCCAUCAGUAGUCAAGAAAUUUGUAUGGCGUCUCUUCCAGGACUGGAGACUUCUUGCUCUACAGGUGAGACCUUUUCCAUCCUUUCUGCUUCUCUGCCCCCAGAUCUUUGUGUGCAUGAGUAGAGAUCAGCUCCUUUCCCAUUCCCCUAAAUCAUAAUCCAUUUUCUGUCCCAGGAGCCAGGGUUGUUGUGUUGAUUGUGUGAGUUGUACCCUAUACAAAAGGGCUCACUUAAGUGGCAGCAUGCAGAAGGGGUGGAUAGAGGUUGAAAUCUAGCUCAGGCUCCCCUCACCAAAUCCUGUGUUGGGGGAAGGUGCCUUUUCCUAACUCACACAAAGGUACCCUAUGAGCUAGCCACAGCCAUGCCACAUCUGACACUAUAAUAUUCUUUUUUUUUUUUGUCUUUUUUUUUGCUAUUUCUUUGGGCCGCUCCUGCGGCAUAUGGAGGUUCCCAGGCUAGGGGUCAAAUCGGAGCUGUAGCCCAUGGCCUACGCCAGAGCCACAGCAACGUGGGAUCCGAGCUGCAUCUGCAACCUACACCACAGCUCACGGCAAUGCCAGAUCGUUAACCCACUGAGCAAGGGCAGGGACCGAACCCGCAACCUCAUGGUUCCUAGUCAGAUUCAUUAACCACUGCGCCACGACGGGAACUCCUGACACUAUAAUAUUAUUAUUUUUUUUUUGUCUUUUUUUUUGUUGUUGUUAUUGUUGUUGUUGUUGUUGUUGCUAUUUCUUGGGCCGCUCCUGCGGCAUAUGGAGGUUCCCAGGCUAGGGGUCAAAUUGGAGCUGUAGCCCCUGGCCUACGCCAGAGCCACAGCAACAUGGGAUCCGAGCUGCGUCUGCAACCUACACCACAGCUCACGGCAACGCCGGAGCAAGGUCAGGGACCAAACCCGAAACCUCAUGGUUCCUAGUCAGAUUCGUUAACCACUGCGCCAUGACGGGAACUCCUGACACUAUAAUAUUCUUAAAGAAAGUCCUCUUAGACUCCAUAGAUGAAGCCAGGCUUCUGAUUCCCUCGGUAAAACAUACUGACCAGUGUCCAUGGCACACUGAUGUCAGCAGCUGGCAGACCCACUAUACUGGAUACUUCACACCCUCCACUUAUGUUAUAUAUAUAUCGAACAUCACUAUUGACUGGUUUCUACCAGUAUUACUUGUUUUAACUAUCUAAAUUAUUUAAAAACUGGAAAAGAAAAAACUAAUGACAAUGUGAAAAAGCAGAGAGUUGUGGUUUUUGUGAAAACUAAGUGCAAUACUUUGCAAAGAUUGGAAAGGGUCGAAUAUUAGAAAUAGCUGUUGAUUUAGUUGUGGGGAGGCAGUUAUAAAAAGUUGAAAAAGGAAAAUGUGAAAUCCACCAUUCUGCAUUUGAGUUACUUUAUAUGGGAUUUGCAGUUCUUGAUUCACUUUAAAGAAACUCAAGCACGAAAUUAUAGAACAUGAAUUAUGGGUAUAGUUCAUGAGAGAAGGAUGUCACUGCAACCUUCAGACCCAUAUUACCAAAAAAAUAAUAAUAACAAUUUUUUUCUAAACUUUGCCCUUAUAUUGAAAAACUUAUAUUUAUGUGUUUUUUUUAAUUGAAGUAUACUUGGUUUACAAUAUUAUAUUAGGUUUGGGUGUAUAACAUAGUGAUUCAGUACUUUUACAUUUUAUGCUAUAUUAAAAGUUAUUACAAGAUAAUGGCUAUAAGUCCCUGUGUUAUACAAUAUAUACUUGUUGCUUAUCUAUUUCAUACAUAGUCAUUUGUUUCUCUUAAUCCAAAUACCCUAAGGCCUCCCUUUCCC